rnacentral:rRNA from 1 species
CCCUCUGGGUCCAACCUCCCACCCGUGUUUAUUUUACCUUGUUGCUUCGGCGGGCCCGCCUUAACUGGCCGCCGGGGGGCUUACGCCCCCGGGCCCGCGCCCGCCGAAGACACCCUCGAACUCUGUCUGAAGAUUGUAGUCUGAGUGAAAAUAUAAAUUAUUUAAAACUUUCAACAACGGAUCUCUUGGUUCCGGCAUCGAUGAAGAACGCAGCGAAAUGCGAUACGUAAUGUGAAUUGCAAAUUCAGUGAAUCAUCGAGUCUUUGAACGCACAUUGCGCCCCCUGGUAUUCCGGGGGGCAUGCCUGUCCGAGCGUCAUUUCUGCCCUCAAGCACGGCUUGUGUGUUGGGCCCCGUCCUCCGAUCCCGGGGGACGGGCCCGAAAGGCAGCGGCGGCACCGCGUCCGGUCCUCGAGCGUAUGGGGCUUUGUCACCCGCUCUGUAGGCCCGGCCGGCGCUUGCCGAUCAACCCAAAUUUUUAUCCAGGUUGACCUCGGAUCAGGUAGGGAUACCCGCUGAACUUAAGCAUAUCAAUAGGCGGAGGAA